rnacentral:sRNA from 1 species
GGCAAAAUCUCAGAAGACACAGUCGAAGGGUGGUGCUACCCAGAGGGGUGCUAAAGGUCCUAAGAUUGGCGGCGGUGGUGGGAAGCGCUGAAAGUCUCUUGCAUCAUAGGGAGAGUUCUUCUGGCUUAGCCUUCUCUCCGGCCAUAUCGUAGAAACAGUACCUUGGUCAAGUUAGCCUGCCGUCUUGAAUUUUCACCUUUUUCUGUGAGAUGACUUGUCCUGAAUGCUUCGGGUAUUUUGUUAGUCAAUUUACAAUUGCACUUAUGUUUGGCUAUUAUAAAAUUAUCAAGUUUUCUGC